UACGGAGGGUGCGAGCGUUGUCCGGAAUCACUGGGCGUAAAGGGCGCGUAGGCGGCCUGAUAAGUAGGGGGUGAAAUCCUGCGGCUUAACCGCAGGGCUGCCUUCUAGACUGUCAGGCUAGAGCACAGUAGAGGCAGGUGGAAUUCCCGGUGUAGCGGUGGAAUGCGUAGAGAUCGGGAAGAACAUCAGUGGCGAAGGCGGCCUGCUGGGCUGUUGCUGGACGCUGAGGAGCGAAAGCGUGGGAGCGAACAGG
rnacentral:rRNA from 1 species